rnacentral:rRNA from 1 species
UACGGAGGGUGCGAGCGUUGUCCGGAAUCACUGGGCGUAAAGGGCGCGUAGGUAGCUACUCAAGCGCGCGGUGAAAGCCCGGGGCUCAACCCCGGGUCGGCCGUGCGGACUGGGAGGCUCGAGCACUGUAGGGGCGGGUGGAAUUCCGGGUGUAGCGGUGGAAUGCGCAGAUAUCAGGAGGAACACCAAUAGCGAAGGCAGCUCGCUGGGACGUUACUGACACUGAGGCGCGAAAGCGUGGGGAGCGAACAGG